GUAACUAGGAGACCAUGUCCCUUGGCAUAAGUAUUGAUCUUCAAUAAUUUGUCCUUGAUAUUGAGAGAAGAGGAUCAAACUAUUUGAACCGGAUUGCUGUACUUCAACAUGUAAAGUGAAAAUGCAGACCCAGUUGACUAUAUUUCACUCAUUUGGGCCAAAGAAGCAGAAGUUUAUUAACAAAGAAGGAGAAUAACAAAAGAAAUAUAAGAUGGAAAGAAAAGCAAAAAGAAAGAAAACUAAAGAAAAAGCAAAAGAAAGAAUACUAAAUCUGAAAUACAUUUUCGUCCCCAAAUCAAGAACUAUCUCCUAUUACAUCUAUAUUGUUCAUCACUAGAAGCAGAAAAAUAGACUAUUACAGCAUAAAAUAGAGAACAAAAAGAAAGUUACAGCAGUGCC
rnacentral:lncRNA from 1 species